CCCAUGUAGACAAUCUAUAUAACAACUUAAUCCUCCAAAUCGCCAUAGCAUAAGAAGCCUCUUGCCCUUUAUGUCUAAAACGCCUUCCCAACCGUAUGGCACUCCUGGAGACUAAAAUUGGAUUUAUUUCAUAGUAACAACACCUACAUUAAAGGUAAAUAGCCAGCCCACCGUCAAACCCAUCUAUCAUUAGAGCCACGCUUCAUUCUGCACAGGACUUCUAACUUUUGAGAAUUUUUCAGGAAUAUGACUUGUAUGCCUCACCAUCUAACAUAAUGAAUGUGGCGUCACAACAAUUCCUACCUAGUGCAUAGGGGUUAAAAGAAUUCCGAAAUAAUUGCUAUAGGUGACUAUCUGUCUGGUAACUAGAUUAAGAAGUUUUAACAUGUUAAAUAUAUAUGGUCCAAGAACAAUUCAAAAUACUAAAUCCAGGUACAAAGAGAGAAUCUUAAGAUCAUUUUACUGAGGAAUAUCAAAUGACCACCCCGUACAUGCGUACUUCUGAGGAACAUGUUAAUCGGGGGGAAAUUGUCAGUAAUCACUCUCAUAAAAAUAAAAAUUCCUUCCCUUGAUUCACACUAAGAGUAUCAAAGUCUAAUGCAGCAUAAACCUGUAGUGAUCGUGAUCUUUCUCAGAAUAUGCACUAUCUGGUUACUACCCGAUGACACCUGACACGCUAGCGCUUGAUAUCUCAGAAAUGCUCCAGCGUAAGCCCACGUACAUGUCUUAUCCGAGGUGAUGACAGACGGAGGAGGGGUUCGCAAUAGCUUACUUGCCCCCAUUAAUCAGAAUUCAUGAUCACAGAAACCAGAUAUGGAACUUCGCCCCAGAUAAUACGAAUCAGAGGACAAUGCGAGGGAGGAAAAAUAGAAACCUCAAGGCGUGACGAAUAACUAGCGAUCAAGACUUCUGAAAAAAAGUUUUCACAGUGAUGAGCUAUCUAUCCUAUGGAAAGCACAAUCACUCACCUGCAUUCAUCGGCAAGAAUCCACAGAAUAUGUGGCCGUAAGGAGCCGGAGGAGUCCCCAGUCCGUCACAGUAGACACUCCGACCCAGACAUUCCCAGUUACCUCGGUCGCGGAGUGGUCGAUGGAGUCGUCACCCAUUUGGUAUCUGGGAUCGAACCCUUCCAUCUCUCUGCAACAGAGCUUCUACCCUCGUUUUUUAC
rnacentral:lncRNA from 1 species